rnacentral:lncRNA from 1 species
AUAUAACCAUGACUCCUUAAUCAAAUUGUAAGAGAUACAAGGAACAAGGAAACAUACACCUACUGGACACAAAAAAUUUUUAAAAAAAUAAUUAGAAAUAAAAGUUCCUUUUGAACAACAUUUACCAACUUAACACCUAACUUAAUUCAAGUGAGCAUGAAGGGGGAAAUAAACCAAUCAAUAGUUCGAACAAUUUAAUGGGAAAAGAACUACGUUUUGAUCCUUAUGAAUUAACUCUUAAAAGCUCGCAACAAGAUAUCAAAAUAGUGAUUACUUAAAUAUUAUUCAAAUACAUCCCCACCAAGGCUUGGAUCAAAACAUAAAGAGGAGGGGGAGAAACUGUAAGAAACAUGUUUAUCCUAUAUUAACAAGAUGGGAAAGAAAUCUCAGGUGACGUGAUUCAACCAAUUUUUAAAGCUUACUAACAAACAUGUAGCCUCCCUCUAUUGUUCUCCUUGUUUACAUGUUCUAUAUAUAACCCGGCAAACUACACAAAACUACGCCACUAUAUUAAACGAGAACGAUCAAGUGUAUUAUCUCCAAAAAUACACACAGAGAAUACAAACAACAACAGUAAAACAAAAUUCAGAUUGGAUCAACAAUGAAAUCACUCUAAUGUACUUGAAACAACUACAAACUUUAAAACAACAAAUGAGUUUGAUUUGCUAAAUAAACAAACAACAACACCUAAAACAAGAUAAACAGACACAUACGCACAUCCAAACAGGGGAACACGAGAAACAUGGAACUCUAUUCUGCUUCCAACAGUUCCAAAGCAAGAUGAGGACAUACACGCACGUUUACAAACCUCUAUGUUUGCAUUUUUAUCCACAGAAUAGUUUUCACAAAAAAAAUCAGCUCUGUGAUUUUAUCCCCAAGCCAACAGAAGCAACAACAAAUGUAAACUUAACAGAGGUUCGCGCACAAGCCCAAUUUUCAAAACCAGUCAUCGACAACCCAAACUAUUGGAAUUCAUACAAUGAUCCGUCCUUAACAAACAAACACAAAACUUCAACGAAUCUAAACUAAGAUUUCAAGAUCAAAGCAAAUCAUCUUAUAUUCACGGAAACAAAAAAUGAAUGAAAAAUAAAGAGAUGAAAGUAAAGUAAAAGGAGGCGGGUUCGCACCUUUUUUCGGGUAGCAAUACUGAGGCUCAACGUCAAGGAUUCUUCCGGCAACGAACUCAGACCCGAAACUUGAACUCGCUCCUUGUUUUCUAUCGAUUUUUCCACACUUUACUCUAUUUUUUUCCCCAAAGUUAAGCCCUUUUUUUGUCAAUUUCCGACCUUACUCACUAGCUUUUUUUUCACUCUUUCUUCACUGAUUUUUGUUUCUUUUGCACCCCCCCCCCCUUUUGAAGCUUAAGAACACCCAUAUGUAUAGAUGAAAAUCAAAAAAAAAUCGCCAAAACGUGAGAUUCGAAAUUUGAAUUCAAGUUUUGAUGAGACCUGUCUCUGCCUUAGCGAUUUUAUGCCGAUUUGACUGAAAUAGUGCGUUUUUCACUAAUUUAGGACUGGUCUCUCUGAUUAAGGGGAAAUACCGGGUUGAAAAUGUCAAAAAUGGGGAUCUUCGCAGGGGGUGGCAGCUAUGGCUCCCACGGCACAGCUAGGGUUUGGUUUGGGGGUGGUGGAGGAGCGGGGAAGGAGAAGAAACAAAAGGGUCAAUGAUUGUUGUUUGUUGUACUAAUUGUUGACUAGAAAUAUAGGUCGUCCGAUCAUUUAAAUCAGACGGUCCAAAUUUAAUAUAGGAAUAUAAUAAAAUAAUAAAUUAUAUACAUAAAUAUAAAAAUAACUAAAUAAUUAAAAAAUUUGAGACUCUCAGAGUAGAAAUAAAUUAACGGACUAGACCAAUUUGUAUUUUUUAGGGUGAAGCGGAUUUGGCAAUUGUAUUGAGUUUCAGGUCAAAUUUAUAAAUAAGAGUUGGGUUUGAAAAUAAAGUUGAAAUUGGAUUAGUGUUGGCCUGAAUACUCUUUUUCUACUAAAAUUAAUUUUGUUCAUGCUUCCUGCUACCCUAAAAUUAUUUUAAUCUAACGUAUAAAAAUUAAAUAAAU